GUGCACAUGAUGGAAAAAAUUAAACCACCUGAAAUUUGUGAUGUCUUCAAAGGAACCGCUGAUGCAC
ensembl:snoRNA SNORD42 Small nucleolar RNA SNORD42